UUUCUGUCCUGUGAAGGAGCACAUUGUGAGUGGAGUGGAAGAGAAUGUGGUCAGGGCAUCUGUAUGUCCUCUAUGGCCUAAAAUGGUCAGGUCAAAGUAAUGUGAGGAUGCACCUCCAGGAGUAGUGCCUUUGGGGACAGGAGCAGUGAAAGGCUUCUCUUGCAUCCUGGAAUGAAUGCCACGCACCCAGGAAUAAUGAUGGCCAACAAUUUAAUCAGGGCCAAAGAAGCAAAAGCAGUGAGAGGAUCAAACUUAGCCUCUCUGCUUCCACAGCCAGAGAUAGCCAGCUCCCACCUUUCAGUACCAUGGCCAUUCUCCUAGCAUUGUCUACACCUAUGUUCUUCCUCAUGUGAUUUUGACACUGGUGGAAAGAGCAACCUGUAGGAUGGGCAAAUAUCUGCUGGGUGGUCCUUUAUGCAUUUGAGAAAACAUCAUAGGGGUAGUCUUCUCUCUCCAGGGCAUGCUUCUCACCUGGAAAUCCUCGGAGGGAUUUCUGUCUGGAUCUCGUGGUGCUACCAGACCAGGGUAGGCACAGAAACACACAAAGUAUUGUGUAGGCCUCCUGUCUAGCUGAAAUGUAGUUGCAUGGCGACCCAUUGCAAUGAUCUCAAAAGUUUUUGAGUCUACUGCCGAAAUCCGUAACGUGUCACGGCAUUGGUCUUACACCUGCCCUUAUCAGUGGGUCUUUCAGGUGGAUCUACUCACGAUUGGCUGGAGAAUGAUGACCAAGUAAGAGUUGAAUGAAAACCAGAUGAGGAUACUCAGGGCCAAAGGACAACCCAAUGAAUCUUGUUGAUUUUCCUCGGUCCAAUCACCAGGGGUGCUUGGGGAUAUGGGAGAUUUAGACCUAGUCUAACUGUCGGCACGUCAAUUGCUGCAGCUCCUGCUCAAGAGUGGCAGUGCAAGCAGAAACCUAAAAUCAGGGAUGAAUGGAUUUGGCGAUUCCUACAAAUCUACUGCAGGAAAUCACCCAAAUGGAAAACCCAGAGCCCAGCUCUCAGCCAUCCUGUUCUGUCUGUGAACAUUGACUCAUAUCUAUUUGAGUGAGAAUGAUGGGAAUCCAGGAAAUCUGGAAUUCCUGCUCUAGAAAUGGAGGCGUCCUGGGAAGACCAUUUUCAGAUUCACCCAAAGACGAUAAUUUGAGACCAGCAGAGAUUGUAAAACCUGGAGGCAUAGUCAGUGGAAAUUGUGUCCCAAGCCAGCAACUUUCCACUCACCUGAUUGGUGUGAGGCUGUGGACUGCAAGAGGUCACGGCAGAUGACUACAAGGAAAGACAGAAGACAAAGGCGUGAGCCCCCUGCCCCUUGGCAGCAUAGUCUAGUGGAGCUGUAGAAAAUCAGAAAAGGAGCUGGUCGAUGGGGCCCUCGGUGCUCUCACACAGAUGUGCCCCAGGAGUGUAUAGGAAUCUGCCUCAGGGAAAAAGGGGCUUUGGGACCUAAGGACUUCCCUUACAUCACUUGUCUCAAAGAGAAGUAGGCCCUCAUCUCCCACAUCUCCUUGGCUGGGCCUCAGCGUAAUCCUACUGAGCAUGAAUUUUAUGUCAUCACCUCUUUUCGUGACAUUGGGUUGUCUACACAGACCCAGCCAUGGACAGACAGAGCUACGCAUGUCUUUUGAUCCUCUACAAUAACAGCUUACCAGAGCCCACAAGACUUCCAUGGAGAUGGGUUGAGGUAAGUUUAGCCUGCACGGGAUAGCUGGGUCCCAAUGACUUCAAGGGAUGCAGGGACAGCAUUUUUUCUGUCCUGUGAAGGAGCACAUUGUGAGUGGAGUGGAAGAGAAUGUGGUCAGGGCAUCUGUAUGUCCUCUAUGGCCUAAAAUGGUCAGGUCAAAGUAAUGUGAGGAUGCACCUCCAGGAGUAGUGCCUUUGGGGACAGGAGCAGUGAAAGGCUUCUCUUGCAUCCUGGAAUGAAUGCCACGCACCCAGGAAUAAUGAUGGCCAACAAUUUAAUCAGGGCCAAAGAAGCAAAAGCAGUGAGAGGAUCAAACUUAGCCUCUCUGCUUCCACAGCCAGAGAUAGCCAGCUCCCACCUUUCAGUACCAUGGCCAUUCUCCUAGCAUUGUCUACACCUAUGUUCUUCCUCAUGUGAUUUUGACACUGGUGGAAAGAGCAACCUGUAGGAUGGGCAAAUAUCUGCUGGGUGGUCCUUUAUGCAUUUGAGAAAACAUCAUAGGGGUAGUCUUCUCUCUCCAGGGCAUGCUUCUCACCUGGAAAUCCUCGGAGGGAUUUCUGUCUGGAUCUCGUGGUGCUACCAGACCAGGGUAGGCACAGAAACACACAAAGUAUUGUGUAGGCCUCCUGUCUAGCUGAAAUGUAGUUGCAUGGCGACCCAUUGCAAUGAUCUCAAAAGUUUUUGAGUCUACUGCCGAAAUCCGUAACGUGUCACGGCAUUGGUCUUACACCUGCCCUUAUCAGUGGGUCUUUCAGGUGGAUCUACUCACGAUUGGCUGGAGAAUGAUGACCAAGUAAGAGUUGAAUGAAAACCAGAUGAGGAUACUCAGGGCCAAAGGACAACCCAAUGAAUCUUGUUGAUUUUCCUCGGUCCAAUCACCAGGGGUGCUUGGGGAUAUGGGAGAUUUAGACCUAGUCUAACUGUCGGCACGUCAAUUGCUGCAGCUCCUGCUCAAGAGUGGCAGUGCAAGCAGAAACCUAAAAUCAGGGAUGAAUGGAUUUGGCGAUUCCUACAAAUCUACUGCAGGAAAUCACCCAAAUGGAAAACCCAGAGACCAGCUCUCAGCCAUCCUGUUCUGUCUGUGAACAUUGACUCAUAUCUAUUUGAGUGAGAAUGAUGGGAAUCCAGGAAAUCUGGAAUUCCUGCUCUAGAAAUGGAGGUGUCCUGAGAAGACCAUUUUCGGAUUCACCCAAAGACGAUAAUUUGAGACCAGCAGAGAUUGUAAAACCUGGAGGCAUAGUCAGUGGAAAUUGUGUCCCAAGCCAGCAACUUUCCACUCACCUGAUUGGUGUGAGGCUGUGGACUGCAAGAGGUCACGGCAGAUGACUACAAGGAAAGACAGAAGACAAAGGCUUGAGCCCCCUGCCCCUUGGCAGCAUAGUCUAGUGGAGCUGUAGAAAAUCAGAAAAGGAGCUGGUCGAUGGGGCCCUCGGUGCUCUCACUCAGAUGUGCCCCAGGAGUGUAUAGGAAUCUGCCUCAGGGAAAAAGGGGCUUUGGGACCUAAGGACUUCCCUUACAUCACUUGUCUCAAAGAGAAGUAGGCCCUCAUCUCCCACAUCUCCUUGGCUGGGCCUCAGCGUAAUCCUACUGAGCAUGAAUUUUAUGUCAUCACCUCUUUUCGUGACAUUGGGUUGUCUACACAGACCCAGCCAUGGACAGACAGAGCUACGCAUGUCUUUUGAUCCUCUACAAUAACAGCUUACCAGAGCCCACAAGACUUCCAUGGAGAUGGGUUGAGGUAAGUUUAGCCUGCACGGGAUAGCUGGGUCCCAAUGACUUCAAGGGAUGCAGGGACAGCAUUUUUUCUGUCCUGUGAAGGAGCACAUUGUGAGUGGAGUGGAAGAGAAUGUGGUCAGGGCAUCUGUAUGUCCUCUAUGGCCUAAAAUGGUCAGGUCAAAGUAAUGUGAGGAUGCACCUCCAGGAGUAGUGCCUUUGGGGACAGGAGCAGUGAAAGGCUUCUCUUGCAUCCUGGAAUGAAUGCCACGCACCCAGGAAUAAUGAUGGCCAACAAUUUAAUCAGGGCCAAAGAAGCAAAAGCAGUGAGAGGAUCAAACUUAGCCUCUCUGCUUCCACAGCCAGAGAUAGCCAGCUCCCACCUUUCAGUACCAUGGCCAUUCUCCUAGCAUUGUCUACACCUAUGUCCUUCCUCAUGUGAUUUUGACACUGGUGGAAAGAGCAACCUGUAGGAUGGGCAAAUAUCUGCGGGGUGGUCCUUUAUGCAUUUGAGAAAACAUCAUAGGGGUAGUCCUCUCUCUCCAGGGCCUGCUUCUCACCUGGAAAUCCUCGGAGGGAUUUCUGUCUGGAUCUCCUGGUGCUACCAGACCAGGGUAGGCACAGAAACACACAAAGUAUUGUGUAGGCCUCCUGUCUAGCUGAAAUGUAGUUGCAUGGCGACCCACUGCAAUGAUCUCAAAAGUUUUUGAGUCUACUGCCGAAAUCCGUAACGUGUCACGGCAUUGGUCUUACACCUGCCCUUAUCAGUGGGUCUUUCAGGUGGAUCUACUCACGAUUGGCUGGAGAAUGAUGACCAAGUAAGAGUUGAAUGAAAACCAGAUGAGGAUACUCAGGGCCAAAGGACAACCCAAUGAAUCUUGUUGAUUUUCCUCGGUCCAAUCACCAGGCUCCUGCUCAAGAGUGGCAGUGCAAGCAGAAACCUAAAAUCAGGGAUGAAUGGAUUUGGCGAUUCCUACAAAUCUACUGCAGGAAAUCACCCAAAUGGAAAACCCAGAGCCCAGCUCUCAGCCAUCCUGUUCUGUCUGUGAACAUUGACUCAUAUCUAUUUGAGUGAGAAUGAUGGGAAUCCAGGAAAUCUGGAAUUCCUGCUCUAGAAAUGGAGGCGUCCUGGGAAGACCAUUUUCAGAUUCACCCAAAGACGAUAAUUUGAGACCAGCAGAGAUUGUAAAACCUGGAGGCAUAGUCAGUGGAAAUUGUGUCCCAAGCCAGCAACUUUCCACUCACCUGAUUGGUGUGAGGCUGUGGACUGCAAGAGGUCACGGCAGAUGACUACAAGGAAAGACAGAAGACAAAGGCGUGAGCCCCCUGCCCCUUGGCAGCAUAGUCUAGUGGAGCUGUAGAAAAUCAGAAAAGGAGCUGGUCGAUGGGGCCCUCGGUGCUCUCACACAGAUGUGCCCCAGGAGUGUAUAGGAAUCUGCCUCAGGGAAAAAGGGGCUUUGGGACCUAAGGACUUCCCUUACAUCACUUGUCUCAAAGAGAAGUAGGCCCUCAUCUCCCACAUCUCCUUGGCUGGGCCUCAGCGUAAUCCUACUGAGCAUGAAUUUUAUGUCAUCACCUCUUUUCGUGACAUUGGGUUGUCUACACAGACCCAGCCAUGGACAGACAGAGCUACGCAUGUCUUUUGAUCCUCUACAAUAACAGCUUACCAGAGCCCACAAGACUUCCAUGGAGAUGGGUUGAGGUAAGUUUAGCCUGCACGGGAUAGCUGGGUCCCAAUGACUUCAAGGGAUGCAGGGACAGCAUUUUUUCUGUCCUGUGAAGGAGCACAUUGUGAGUGGAGUGGAAGAGAAUGUGGUCAGGGCAUCUGUAUGUCCUCUAUGGCCUAAAAUGGUCAGGUCAAAGUAAUGUGAGGAUGCACCUCCAGGAGUAGUGCCUUUGGGGACAGGAGCAGUGAAAGGCUUCUCUUGCAUCCUGGAAUGAAUGCCACGCACCCAGGAAUAAUGAUGGCCAACAAUUUAAUCAGGGCCAAAGAAGCAAAAGCAGUGAGAGGAUCAAACUUAGCCUCUCUGCUUCCACAGCCAGAGAUAGCCAGCUCCCACCUUUCAGUACCAUGGCCAUUCUCCUAGCAUUGUCUACACCUAUGUUCUUCCUCAUGUGAUUUUGACACUGGUGGAAAGAGCAACCUGUAGGAUGGGCAAAUAUCUGCUGGGUGGUCCUUUAUGCAUUUGAGAAAACAUCAUAGGGGUAGUCUUCUCUCUCCAGGGCAUGCUUCUCACCUGGAAAUCCUCGGAGGGAUUUCUGUCUGGAUCUCGUGGUGCUACCAGACCAGGGUAGGCACAGAAACACACAAAGUAUUGUGUAGGCCUCCUGUCUAGCUGAAAUGUAGUUGCAUGGCGACCCAUUGCAAUGAUCUCAAAAGUUUUUGAGUCUACUGCCGAAAUCCGUAACGUGUCACGGCAUUGGUCUUACACCUGCCCUUAUCAGUGGGUCUUUCAGGUGGAUCUACUCACGAUUGGCUGGAGAAUGAUGACCAAGUAAGAGUUGAAUGAAAACCAGAUGAGGAUACUCAGGGCCAAAGGACAACCCAAUGAAUCUUGUUGAUUUUCCUCGGUCCAAUCACCAGGGGUGCUUGGGGAUAUGGGAGAUUUAGACCUAGUCUAACUGUCGGCACGUCAAUUGCUGCAGCUCCUGCUCAAGAGUGGCAGUGCAAGCAGAAACCUAAAAUCAGGGAUGAAUGGAUUUGGCGAUUCCUACAAAUCUACUGCAGGAAAUCACCCAAAUGGAAAACCCAGAGCCCAGCUCUCAGCCAUCCUGUUCUGUCUGUGAACAUUGACUCAUAUCUAUUUGAGUGAGAAUGAUGGGAAUCCAGGAAAUCUGGAAUUCCUGCUCUAGAAAUGGAGGCGUCCUGGGAAGACCAUUUUCAGAUUCACCCAAAGACGAUAAUUUGAGACCAGCAGAGAUUGUAAAACCUGGAGGCAUAGUCAGUGGAAAUUGUGUCCCAAGCCAGCAACUUUCCACUCACCUGAUUGGUGUGAGGCUGUGGACUGCAAGAGGUCACGGCAGAUGACUACAAGGAAAGACAGAAGACAAAGGCGUGAGCCCCCUGCCCCUUGGCAGCAUAGUCUAGUGGAGCUGUAGAAAAUCAGAAAAGGAGCUGGUCGAUGGGGCCCUCGGUGCUCUCACACAGAUGUGCCCCAGGAGUGUAUAGGAAUCUGCCUCAGGGAAAAAGGGGCUUUGGGACCUAAGGACUUCCCUUACAUCACUUGUCUCAAAGAGAAGUAGGCCCUCAUCUCCCACAUCUCCUUGGCUGGGCCUCAGCGUAAUCCUACUGAGCAUGAAUUUUAUGUCAUCACCUCUUUUCGUGACAUUGGGUUGUCUACACAGACCCAGCCAUGGACAGACAGAGCUACGCAUGUCUUUUGAUCCUCUACAAUAACAGCUUACCAGAGCCCACAAGACUUCCAUGGAGAUGGGUUGAGGUAAGUUUAGCCUGCACGGGAUAGCUGGGUCCCAAUGACUUCAAGGGAUGCAGGGACAGCAUUUUUUCUGUCCUGUGAAGGAGCACAUUGUGAGUGGAGUGGAAGAGAAUGUGGUCAGGGCAUCUGUAUGUCCUCUAUGGCCUAAAAUGGUCAGGUCAAAGUAAUGUGAGGAUGCACCUCCAGGAGUAGUGCCUUUGGGGACAGGAGCAGUGAAAGGCUUCUCUUGCAUCCUGGAAUGAAUGCCACGCACCCAGGAAUAAUGAUGGCCAACAAUUUAAUCAGGGCCAAAGAAGCAAAAGCAGUGAGAGGAUCAAACUUAGCCUCUCUGCUUCCACAGCCAGAGAUAGCCAGCUCCCACCUUUCAGUACCAUGGCCAUUCUCCUAGCAUUGUCUACACCUAUGUUCUUCCUCAUGUGAUUUUGACACUGGUGGAAAGAGCAACCUGUAGGAUGGGCAAAUAUCUGCUGGGUGGUCCUUUAUGCAUUUGAGAAAACAUCAUAGGGGUAGUCUUCUCUCUCCAGGGCAUGCUUCUCACCUGGAAAUCCUCGGAGGGAUUUCUGUCUGGAUCUCGUGGUGCUACCAGACCAGGGUAGGCACAGAAACACACAAAGUAUUGUGUAGGCCUCCUGUCUAGCUGAAAUGUAGUUGCAUGGCGACCCAUUGCAAUGAUCUCAAAAGUUUUUGAGUCUACUGCCGAAAUCCGUAACGUGUCACGGCAUUGGUCUUACACCUGCCCUUAUCAGUGGGUCUUUCAGGUGGAUCUACUCACGAUUGGCUGGAGAAUGAUGACCAAGUAAGAGUUGAAUGAAAACCAGAUGAGGAUACUCAGGGCCAAAGGACAACCCAAUGAAUCUUGUUGAUUUUCCUCGGUCCAAUCACCAGGGGUGCUUGGGGAUAUGGGAGAUUUAGACCUAGUCUAACUGUCGGCACGUCAAUUGCUGCAGCUCCUGCUCAAGAGUGGCAGUGCAAGCAGAAACCUAAAAUCAGGGAUGAAUGGAUUUGGCGAUUCCUACAAAUCUACUGCAGGAAAUCACCCAAAUGGAAAACCCAGAGCCCAGCUCUCAGCCAUCCUGUUCUGUCUGUGAACAUUGACUCAUAUCUAUUUGAGUGAGAAUGAUGGGAAUCCAGGAAAUCUGGAAUUCCUGCUCUAGAAAUGGAGGCGUCCUGGGAAGACCAUUUUCAGAUUCACCCAAAGACGAUAAUUUGAGACCAGCAGAGAUUGUAAAACCUGGAGGCAUAGUCAGUGGAAAUUGUGUCCCAAGCCAGCAACUUUCCACUCACCUGAUUGGUGUGAGGCUGUGGACUGCAAGAGGUCACGGCAGAUGACUACAAGGAAAGACAGAAGACAAAGGCGUGAGCCCCCUGCCCCUUGGCAGCAUAGUCUAGUGGAGCUGUAGAAAAUCAGAAAAGGAGCUGGUCGAUGGGGCCCUCGGUGCUCUCACACAGAUGUGCCCCAGGAGUGUAUAGGAAUCUGCCUCAGGGAAAAAGGGGCUUUGGGACCUAAGGACUUCCCUUACAUCACUUGUCUCAAAGAGAAGUAGGCCCUCAUCUCCCACAUCUCCUUGGCUGGGCCUCAGCGUAAUCCUACUGAGCAUGAAUUUUAUGUCAUCACCUCUUUUCGUGACAUUGGGUUGUCUACACAGACCCAGCCAUGGACAGACAGAGCUACGCAUGUCUUUUGAUCCUCUACAAUAACAGCUUACCAGAGCCCACAAGACUUCCAUGGAGAUGGGUUGAGUGGGUCUUUCAGGUGGAUCUACUCACGAUUGGCUGGAGAAUGAUGACCAAGUAAGAGUUGAAUGAAAACCAGAUGAGGAUACUCAGGGCCAAAGGACAACCCAAUGAAUCUUGUUGAUUUUCCUCGGUCCAAUCACCAGGGGUGCUUGGGGAUAUGGGAGAUUUAGACCUAGUCUAACUGUCGGCACGUCAAUUGCUGCAGCUCCUGCUCAAGAGUGGCAGUGCAAGCAGAAACCUAAAAUCAGGGAUGAAUGGAUUUGGCGAUUCCUACAAAUCUACUGCAGGAAAUCACCCAAAUGGAAAACCCAGAGCCCAGCUCUCAGCCAUCCUGUUCUGUCUGUGAACAUUGACUCAUAUCUAUUUGAGUGAGAAUGAUGGGAAUCCAGGAAAUCUGGAAUUCCUGCUCUAGAAAUGGAGGCGUCCUGAGAAGACCAUUUUCGGAUUCACCCAAAGACGAUAAUUUGAGACCAGCAGAGAUUGUAAAACCUGGAGGCAUAGUCAGUGGAAAUUGUGUCCCAAGCCAGCAACUUUCCACUCACCUGAUUGGUGUGAGGCUGUGGACUGCAAGAGGUCACGGCAGAUGACUACAAGGAAAGACAGAAGACAAAGGCUUGAGCCCCCUGCCCCUUGGCAGCAUAGUCUAGUGGAGCUGUAGAAAAUCAGAAAAGGAGCUGGUCGAUGGGGCCCUCGGUGCUCUCACUCAGAUGUGCCCCAGGAGUGUAUAGGAAUCUGCCUCAGGGAAAAAGGGGCUUUGGGACCUAAGGACUUCCCUUACAUCACUUGUCUCAAAGAGAAGUAGGCCCUCAUCUCCCACAUCUCCUUGGCUGGGCCUCAGCGUAAUCCUACUGAGCAUGAAUUUUAUGUCAUCACCUCUUUUCGUGACAUUGGGUUGUCUACACAGACCCAGCCAUGGACAGACAGAGCUACGCAUGUCUUUUGAUCCUCUACAAUAACAGCUUACCAGAGCCCACAAGACUUCCAUGGAGAUGGGUUGAGGUAAGUUUAGCCUGCACGGGAUAGCUGGGUCCCAAUGACUUCAAGGGAUGCAGGGACAGCAUUUUUUCUGUCCUGUGAAGGAGCACAUUGUGAGUGGAGUGGAAGAGAAUGUGGUCAGGGCAUCUGUAUGUCCUCUAUGGCCUAAAAUGGUCAGGUCAAAGUAAUGUGAGGAUGCACCUCCAGGAGUAGUGCCUUUGGGGACAGGAGCAGUGAAAGGCUUCUCUUGCAUCCUGGAAUGAAUGCCACGCACCCAGGAAUAAUGAUGGCCAACAAUUUAAUCAGGGCCAAAGAAGCAAAAGCAGUGAGAGGAUCAAACUUAGCCUCUCUGCUUCCACAGCCAGAGAUAGCCAGCUCCCACCUUUCAGUACCAUGGCCAUUCUCCUAGCAUUGUCUACACCUAUGUCCUUCCUCAUGUGAUUUUGACACUGGUGGAAAGAGCAACCUGUAGGAUGGGCAAAUAUCUGCGGGGUGGUCCUUUAUGCAUUUGAGAAAACAUCAUAGGGGUAGUCCUCUCUCUCCAGGGCCUGCUUCUCACCUGGAAAUCCUCGGAGGGAUUUCUGUCUGGAUCUCCUGGUGCUACCAGACCAGGGUAGGCACAGAAACACACAAAGUAUUGUGUAGGCCUCCUGUCUAGCUGAAAUGUAGUUGCAUGGCGACCCACUGCAAUGAUCUCAAAAGUUUUUGAGUCUACUGCCGAAAUCCGUAACGUGUCACGGCAUUGGUCUUACACCUGCCCUUAUCAGUGGGUCUUUCAGGUGGAUCUACUCACGAUUGGCUGGAGAAUGAUGACCAAGUAAGAGUUGAAUGAAAACCAGAUGAGGAUACUCAGGGCCAAAGGACAACCCAAUGAAUCUUGUUGAUUUUCCUCGGUCCAAUCACCAGGGGUGCUUGGGGAUAUGGGAGAUUUAGACCUAGUCUAACUGUCGGCACGUCAAUUGCUGCAGCUCCUGCUCAAGAGUGGCAGUGCAAGCAGAAACCUAAAAUCAGGGAUGAAUGGAUUUGGCGAUUCCUACAAAUCUACUGCAGGAAAUCACCCAAAUGGAAAACCCAGAGACCAGCUCUCAGCCAUCCUGUUCUGUCUGUGAACAUUGACUCAUAUCUAUUUGAGUGAGAAUGAUGGGAAUCCAGGAAAUCUGGAAUUCCUGCUCUAGAAAUGGAGGCGUCCUGGGAAGACCAUUUUCGGAUUCACCCAAAGACGAUAAUUUGAGACCAGCAGAGAUUGUAAAACCUGGAGGCAUAGUCAGUGGAAAUUGUGUCCCAAGCCAGCAACUUUCCACUCACCUGAUUGGUGUGAGGCUGUGGACUGCAAGAGGUCACGGCAGAUGACUACAAGGAAAGACAGAAGACAAAGGCGUGAGCCCCCUGCCCCUUGGCAGCAUAGUCUAGUGGAGCUGUAGAAAAUCAGAAAAGGAGCUGGUCGAUGGGGCCCUCGGUGCUCUCACUCAGAUGUGCCCCAGGAGUGUAUAGGAAUCUGCCUCAGGGUAAAAGGGGCUUUGGGACCUAAGGACUUCCCUUACAUCACUUGUCUCAAAGAGAAGUAGGCCCUCAUCUCCCACAUCUCCUUGGCUGGGCCUCAGCGUAAUCCUACUGAGCAUGAAUUUUAUGUCAUCACCUCUUUUCGUGACAUUGGGUUGUCUACACAGACCCAGCCAUGGACAGACAGAGCUACGCAUGUCUUUUGAUCCUCUACAAUAACAGCUUACCAGAGCCCACAAGACUUCCAUGGAGAUGGGUUGAGGUAAGUU